UAGCCACGGUAAUACCAGCCCCGCGAGUGGUUGGGACGGUUAUUGGGCCUAAAGCGCCCGUAGCCGGCUGGGUAAGUCCCCUGUUAAAUCCAGCGAUUCAAUCGCUGGACUGCGGGGGAUACUGCCUGGCUAGGGGCGGGAGAGGCCGGCGGUAUUCCCGGGUAGGGGUGAAAUCUUAUAAUCCCGGGAGGACCACCAGUGGCGAAGGC
rnacentral:rRNA from 1 species